GCAGCCGUCCGGUCUGUCGCUCGUCUCGAACGAAAGACGGGAGGAAAGUCCGGGCAACGCAGAGCGCCAUCCUUCCUAACGGGAAGCUGUUCGCGAGGGCAGAGUAGCGUAACAGAAAAGAACCGCCUCGCCGCAAGGCAGGGUAAGGGUGAAAAGGUGGGGUAAGAGCCUACCGCUUCCGUCGGAAUACGGGAGGUCAAUACGUCUGAUGGGUUGUAAGGUCAUGUAUACCGGCGCAGAAGGGUUGCUCGCCCGAUGUCGGGGGGUAGACCGCAUGAGCGCGACGGCAACGGCGCGUCCAGAUAAAUGGCAGACAUUCCGGCUUGGCCGGAAUACAGAACCCGGCUUACAGGACGGCUGCAUUU
rnacentral:RNase_P_RNA from 1 species